UACGUAGGGUGCAAGCGUUAAUCGGAAUUACUGGGCGUAAAGCGUGCGCAGGCGGUUUUGUAAGUCUGUCGUGAAAUCCCCGGGCUUAACCUGGGAAUUGCGAUGGAGACUGCAAGGCUAGAAUCUGGCAGAGGGGGGUAGAAUUCCACGUGCAGCAGUGAAAUGCGUAGAGAUGUGGAGGAACACCGAUGGCGAAGGCAGCCCCCUGGGUCAAGAUUGACGCUCAUGCACGAAAGCGUGGGGAGCAAACAGG
rnacentral:rRNA from 1 species